UUUGUACAUUACAGUAAAAUGCUGUAAUUUAUAUUGCAUUCUGGGUAAUUUUGACUUGGCGGGAAUAUUUUACAGUAUAUUUUAGUACUGCUGUAACCUUGCUGUAGCCUGACUGUAAUACACGGGGCAAUAAUACAGGACUGCUGUAAAUAGCGCGCCACCUGACGUCACAUCACAGACAACACAGCUGCUGCUGACCGGAGAGAGACGCAGAACUGAGGAUUUAUGCAACUCCACAGUGUGGUCCACUUGUCUUUGUACCCUGGGAAGGGCAAUGCUGUCACAAGGCAGUUUUUUUUUCACCACUGAUGGGAAUAAAUAUACUGGCAGACAACGAGUGAGCAGAAGAUCAGGACGGUGGUGCAGAGUGAUGGCCAUCAACCCUGCAUGUCAACAGCUUCAUUCAAUCCAAAAUGAUGUUUAAAUGGAGGACUUAACAGAGAGGGUCAGUGGCCUGUUUGCCACCACCAACAUGCCCUGCAUUUAGGGGUGAUGGUUAUGAGACACUUGUUGUUGUUUUUGCUAAUUUUAAGAUAGUUUAAUUUUUAGAUAAAUCAAGUUCUCUCUUAGGACAUUGAUUCCAAAUCCAGCCCUCACGAUGCAUGUGUUUGUUUCAUUUAUAUUCUUGCACAUUUAAAAUGCUUUCAUGGCUGUAAAUUGUUGAUGCACUGUACUCUGGGUAGCAAACA